rnacentral:tRNA from 1 species
GCCUGGGUGGCUCAGUGGUUGAGCAUCUGCCUUUGGCUCAGGUUGUGAUCCCAGGGUCCUGGGAUCGAGUCCCACAUCAGGCU